UACAGAGACUGCAAGCGUUAUUCGGAUUCACUGGGCGUAAAGGGUGCGCAGGCGGUUGUGUGUGUCAGGUGUGAAAGCCCGGGGCUUAACCCCGGAAUUGCGCCUGAAACUACAUGACUAGAGCAUUGGAGAGGGUAGCGGAAUUCACGGUGUAGCAGUGAAAUGCGUAGAUAUCGUGAGGAACACCAGAGGCGAAGGCGGCUACCUGGACAAUUGCUGACGCUCAGGCGCGAAAGCUAGGGGAGCAAACAGG
rnacentral:rRNA from 1 species